rnacentral:rRNA from 1 species
UACGGGGGGAGCAAGCGUUGUUCGGAUUUACUGGGCGUAAAGCGUGCGUAGGCGGUUCGCUGUGUCCGAUGUGAAAGCCCCGGGCUUAACCUGGGAAUGGCAUUGGAAACUGGCGGGCUUGAGUGUGGCAGAGGGGGGUGGAAUUCCGCGUGUAGCAGUGAAAUGCGUAGAGAUGCGGAGGAACACCGAUGGCGAAGGCAGCCCCCUGGGUUAACACUGACGCUCAGGCACGAAAGCGUGGGGAGCAAACAGG